GGGCAUGUAGCGUAGGGGUUAUCGCGUUCGCUUUGCAUAGUCAAUUUGUAAACAGAGUUUUGCGAAAGGUCUCCGGUUCAAAUCCGGACUUGUCCA
rnacentral:tRNA from 1 species